CGUAGGGUGCAAGCGUUAAUCGGAAUUACUGGGCGUAAAGCGUGCGCAGGCGGUUUUGUAAGUCUGUCGUGAAAUCCCCGGGCUCAACCUGGGAAUGGCGAUGGAGACUGCAAGGCUAGAAUCUGGCAGAGGGGGGUAGAAUUCCACGUGUAGCAGUGAAAUGCGUAGAGAUGUGGAGGAACACCGAUGGCGAAGGCAGCCCCCUGGGUCAAGAUUGACGCUCAUGCACGAAAGCGUGGGGAGCAAACAGGAUUAGAUACCCUGGUAGUCCACGCCCUAAACGAUGUCUACUAGUUGUCGGGUUUUAAUUAACUUGGUAACGCAGCUAACGCGUGAAGUAGACCGCCUGGGGAGUACGGUCGCAAGAUUA
rnacentral:rRNA from 1 species